AGAACAUCCCCUCUUGCAUUACAGAUAUUAACGAGUGUCUGGGGUGGAACCCACCAAACUGCAGCCUCGACGCAAACUGCAACAACGCGCCUGGGAGUUACUACUGCACCUGCAGGGAUGGCUACGAGCCCAGCUCUGGGAAAGCCAGCUUCACACACACAAGUGAGAACAGCUGCCAGGACAUUGACGAGUGCAAGAAGACCCCAGAUAUCUGCGGCCCCAAGGCCACGUGUAUCAACACCUACGGAAGCUACCUGUGUGAGUGCCAGGCCGGCUACGUCCCCUCCAACAGGAACACGACCCUGUGCCAAGUCCCCAGCAUUAACUCCAGCGCUGAGUUCGAGGAAAUCAAAAAG
rnacentral:lncRNA from 1 species